UACAGAGGGUGCAAACGUUGCUCGGAAUCAUUGGGCGUAAAGCGCACGUAGGCGGCCUAGCAAGUAGGGAGUGAAAGCCCUCGGCUUAACCGAGGAAGUGCUUUCUAAACUACUAGGCUUGAAUACUGGAGAGGGUCGCGGAAUUCCCGGUGUAGAGGUGAAAUUCGUAGAUAUCGGGAGGAACACCGGUGGCGAAGGCGGCGACCUGGGUCGAUACUGACGCUGAUGCGCGAAAGCGUGGGGAGCAAACAGG
rnacentral:rRNA from 1 species